AGGGAACACAUGUUUGCCUAUGGCCUAUUCAUGUUGAUGUAUGGCAAAAACCAUCACAAUAUUGUAAAGUAAUUAUCCUCUUAUUGAUAUAAGUAAAU